UCUUCUCUGUUCUCAUUAACUUUCGUCGUUUCGCUUGGUUAAAGUUGAUUUUCGUUUCGCACUUUCUUCGUUUACUUCCAAUUAGAUUCACUAAGGAAAAAAAAGGACAAGGAAAAAAAAACUUUUUUGAAAAAAAAGAUUUGAAUUGGAACGUUAUAAAACAUUGAAGAUUAUCAUUGAAGAUGAAGAGAGGUAAACAUUGAAACGGUUAUAACCGAUAUAACCAAUAAGGCUCAACCUCAUCUUGUAACUUCAACGGAUCUUGUUGAACUAAGCAACUUUUUUGCUAUUGCACUGCGCUGUACAAUUCAAAAUAUUCACCUUUCAUAUUGGCCAGAAUCAUUUUUUGGUGUUACCUUGAAUGUAAUAAACUCAAUGUUUGGAGGCAAUGAUAUUGAUACAACUGGAUACAAAUUGAAAUAAGGGGAAACAAUCAACCUAAUCUGAUAAUGGACCUGAAAAGAUGAUUGAAGAAACAGACGAUGAUGAAGAUGAUCAAUAUAGAGUUAAUGAGUUUCUAAUUAAAAGGGUGUAAUCCUGUUAUGCUGACGACUAACAAUAUUGUAAGAUUCAAUUUGAAGGCACCAAUCAACAGUUUAAUUGAUUAGUUUAAUAUGGUGACUGAUGACCAUAGCUGAUGAAUAUGAAUAUGAUUAUGAUGUAUCGAUGUUAAUGCCGUUUUGAUGCAACUUUUCAGUUGAUUCAUUGCUUUUUCCUUAUGAUUAAUGAUCACAAUCAUCAUCAACAUUAUCUUAUCUUCUCUGUCUUUUAUCCAUCAUCUGUCUAUUCUUGAUCAUCUUGUACCUUCUACCUGAUCAAGUCACGACUGGUUUGACAGCAAACGUUAAAAACGUUUGUUUACGCGUACUUCUUUGUUAACUAAGUCAAUAAGAGGACUGACAAUGUACAAAAAUUUGGAUAAAAAGGCAUUUGACCUGAGACGAGGAACCAAAUAAUGAACCGCUCUUUAUAUCUCCAAUUAACCUCAGUCAAAAAUGUUGCUAACAAUGAGACGAGAGAUGACAAGUUAUUUUCAUCAUUCAUCAUCCAAAACGAUUGAAACCUAACCUUUUAACAUGCAGCUACAUAAAGGAUCGUGUUUAUGACUUUAAAUUUUUACAAAUUUAAUUGUCGACCAUUUAAAGCUAUUGUUAUUGUACGGACAGAAACAAUUUUUUAAUAAUUGCUUGUUACCCGACUGCAUCCAUUCAAGCCAUCUCAACCAUUAGAGUCAAUGUAAUACAAGGAUUACAGUAAUUUACAAGUUGUAAUGAAUAAUUACAGAGACCAUUACAAACAAUUAGCUGUUGAUAUUGGCAAAAGAAAAGAUGAGAAAUGUUGUUGUUUAUCAUCGUUUUGGGGUUCCUGUCGAUGGUUCAAUGUUUCAAGUUGUUUGCCCUUCAACUGUUAAUAUACUGGCAAUAAAUAGCUUGUCCAUUGAUGGUUACAAUUUAAGAUCAUCUUUUUUUUGUCGUUAGUACAGGAUAACCUUUCCCUUGAAAUCUUGCCUUUUAACGUUAAUCUUUCCAAUGGCUUCUUUUCACUUGCUGUAUUUUUAGUGUCAUUUAAGAAGCAUUUUAUUCCCGUUUUUUGAGUCUCUUCUGACCAGUUAAUCCAGAUUUUACAAUUUUAGUCUUUUCCUCAUCUCAAUUUACUGUUAAUUUUAACUUGAUAAUGUUAAUUUGGUAAAUAACUUAAUUAGUUCUAAUCAUCUUCUGGAGUCUGCAAAAUUUCAAGCCAAAAGUGAAAGUCUUCAAGUCCAGUUUGAGUGUCAGUUUUUUGCUUCUUCUUGCUAAUAUAAUGAUCAUCAACAUCAUGUUUUCUCUCACUUCUUUGAUUUUCCACUGAAUUUUAACCAACUAAUCAACAGCCAUAGUCAAUUAACUGAUAACCAAAUGGUUCUUUAGUUUAAACAAUUGUUAUUUUGUCUCAUUUUAAACUUGUACUUGAAUCUGUAAUCCAACUCUAUCCUACUCAUUAACUGUCAUUCCUCUUAGCAAAUGAUUGAAAUAAGCAAAUAUGAACUGUAUUUAAUGUAAUUAUUCCCUGUCAAUCAGUUUUAAUCACCAAUCAACAAUGUAAUCAGCAUGCAUACACACCCAAUGUAACAGUUGAAACAAUAAGAAUGAUGCCUUCAUUAUGAAGGUGAAAAUGAUUAGAUCGCAUAACAAUUGGAGUAACACACAAAAAGGGGUUAAAAUUGUUGAUCUUCUUUAACUUAUUUUCAACCAAAAAUUGUUUGUUAAUUAAAACGUCAUCAACUGCCUCACAA